rnacentral:rRNA from 1 species
UGGGGAAUAUUGCACAAUGGGCGCAAGCCUGAUGCAGCAACGCCGCGUGAACGAUGAAGGUCUUCGGAUCGUAAAGUUCUGUUGCAGGGGAAGAUAAUGACGGUACCCUGUGAGGAAGCCCCGGCUCACUACGUGCCAGCAGCCGCGGUAAUACGUAGGGGGCUAGCGUUAUCCGGAUUUACUGGGCGUAAAGGGUGCGUAGGUGGUCUUUCAAGUCGGUGGUUAAAGGCUACGGCUCAACCGUAGUUAGCCUCCGAAACUGGAAGACUUGAGUGCAGGAGAGGAAAGUGGAAUUCCCAGUGUAGCGGUGAAAUGCGUAGAUAUUGGGAGGAACACCAGUAGCGAAGGCGGCUUUCUGGACUGCAACUGACACUGAGGCACGAAAGCGUGGGUAGCAAACAGG